GGGGGCUGAGAAAGACGAGGUCAGCAUCAGAUCGGCCUCUGAGGGACGUGCCUUUGCCUGAGGAGCCACCCUAAAAUCUGUACAAGCACAGUGCAAAGAGAAAAGGGAGUCAGAGAAAUCAGGAAGCAUGAAGACCACCAUGAUCCUGAAACUCAAAGACUGCCACUGUGCACAUUUUGGUAUAGAUCUUUCCAGACACUCGUACCAGUGUUUCAAGCGCUCUCCCUUGGCUGAGAUCCCCAGCUGGCAGCCUCCUGGGGGGCAAGAUGGGAAGAUAGGGGCAGGUGGGCAGACUGGAGGGAUGCAUGGGACUUGCAAUUUGGACUGAAAUGUCUAUUUGGGGAAAACCUGCCACCAAGCGGACCCCCUCCACCAAGUGGAUCCAUUUCUCUAUGGACAAUUACUGGCAUGAUGUUAUGAUUACUACUGGCCUUCUCUGCCUACAGACCAUGUACUCAAGAACCUGCAAGGACCCCCUAUUAUGGCAUCAAGUCAUUCCUAAAUCAUCUAUUUUCUAGGACCUUCUACAAAUCACCACCCUACUCUCUGAUAAUUCUCUCCUAUUACUUCCAGAUUCUCAUCACCUAUUUCCAAAGAGUCAAUUUCGUCACCCGCACAUCCCUGCCUCCACACCUUUACUCCCACCAUCUCCCCUGCCUGGGGUUCCCUGCCUGCUCCAUCUUUAGUGACUGUUCUUCCUCACCAUUUGGAGGGGGCUGCGAAAAUCAGAACCUUCAUCCUGGACUUGCCAAUAGAUUAAGGAGGCAGCCAUUGCACCCUGUUGUCCACAGAGGCCACAGACCCCAAUCUGCUGUGAUUUAACUAUUCCGCUGGAGGUGAUUUAUUCAGUAAAUAACCAAUUGUAAUUGACUCUUCUUGGCUUAGUGAGCUCUUUCAUCUAAAGGCAUCUGCAGGUGAGACCCUAAUCAGGCCCAUGGGGCCCAACUUAGCCUUUAG